rnacentral:rRNA from 1 species
UACGGAGGGUGCAAACGUUGCUCGGAAUUACUGGGCGUAAAGGGCGCGUAGGCGGCUUCGAUAGUCGGGUGUGAAAUGCCUGGGCUCAACCCAGGAACUGCACUCGAAACUCCGAGGCUAGAGUGUGGGAGAGGAUAGUGGAAUUCCCAGUGUAGAGGUGAAAUUCGUAGAUAUUGGAAAGAACACCGGUGGCGAAGGCGGCUAUCUGGACCACAACUGACGCUGAGGCGCGAAAGCGUGGGGAGCAAACAGG